GGAGGGAUGGCCGAGUGGUUUAAGGCAACAGACUGUAAAUCUGUGAAUUACGUGUAAUUCUCGUAGGUUCGAGUCCUACUCCCUCCA
rnacentral:tRNA from 1 species